rnacentral:lncRNA from 1 species
CCUGCUGCAAAAUACUUCGUCCAAGAAGUUGCCUUGUUUUAUUCUUGCAGAAUAUGGAAGAGUUUCGAAGACAGAUCACGAAAUGUUACAUUGAUGUCUCAAAAUGGAUCGUCAAAGCGAUACCAGAGCUAUUCGGUGAAGAUAUAACGAAGGACGUCGAACCAUUGACAGCUAGCAUCGAGAAGUGCUUAGUAACUGAAAUGCCCAAGGACCAGGAUACAAUGCUCGGCAUCGUUCGCUACCUCCGGAUGUUCUUCUUCACAGCCUGAACACGUGCUUCUUGUGGCCACACUACCAACGUGAGGAACCCUCUUCAGCU